rnacentral:misc_RNA from 1 species
AAGUCGUAACAAGGUCUCCGUAGGUGAACCUGCGGAGGGAUCAUUAACACGUUUUAAAACACGUUUUAACACAACACCAACCAACCACGUGAACUAUUUAACAAUCCUGGAAAAGAGAGAAUUCUGUCUAUUUGCACACUAAUGAUGAGCUCUCGCAAGAGAGCGGUGUGUGUAGACUAGCAUUGCAGGCAACUGACUUUGUAAAGACCUUUCUUUUCUGGGCUAAAUGCCUCUCUCAUCACUGGGGCGAAAACACCACUUUCACUACUUCUAUAACCAUUGACUGUAUCUUUUUUUAAUUUUCUGCGCAAGCAGUGAUUGGAAAAAACCAUAAUCAAAUAUCUAAGCACAACUCUUAGCAACGGAUAUCUUGGUUCUC